AUACAGGGACGAUUGGCUUUAGUGCAAGUGAGAGAUUGAAAGAAUAGUGUCCUACAAGCCAAUCGCAUGGAUGAUGCAAUGAGACUAUUCUAUAUAAUCUUCCUACUCAUUUGUAUGAUAUUUGUUAUUUUUUAUAUAUGAGGCAUUGUGUUUUAUCAUUUACUAUAUCAUAUUAUAUUUUAUGAUUAUAACGAACCCCA
rnacentral:lncRNA from 1 species